rnacentral:rRNA from 1 species
GACGAACGCUGGCGGCGUGCUUAACACAUGCAAGUCGAACGAAGUGGCGAACGGGUGAGUAACGCGUAAUCAACCUGCCUUUCAAAGGGGGACAACAGUUGGAAACGACUGCUAAUACCGCAUACUGAAGGAGGGGCUUGCGUCUGAUUAGUUAGUAGGAGGGGUAACGGCCCAACAAGGCGAUGAUCAGUAUGCGGUCUGAGGGGAUGAACGGCAAACUUGGGACUGGGACACGGCCCAGACUCCUACGGGAGGCAGCAGUGGGGAAUCAUCCGAAAUGGACGAAAGUCUGACGGAGCAACGCCGCGUGAGUGAUGACGGCCUUCGGGUUGUAAAGCUCUGUUAAUCGGGACGCGGUACCGGAAUAGAAAGCCACGGCUAACUACGUGCCAGCCGCCGCGGUAAUUC